rnacentral:lncRNA from 1 species
CUGUUUUCUUUUUGAUAUCUCACGAAACUUUACGGACUCCGUAACGAGAUCCAUUUUCUUUCCGGAAUGUUGUGAAACUUUACGGAUUACGCAACAAUGCUCUUUUUGACUUCUGGAAUGUUGCGGAACUUUACGGAUUGCGCAACAAUGCUUGUUUUUUACUUCUGUAAUAUCGCGGAACUUUACGGAUUACCUAAUAAUGGGUGUUA